CUCGUAGUUGAACCUUGGGCCUGGCUGGCAGGUCCGCCUCACCGCGUGUACUUGUCCGGCCGGGCCUUUCCUUCUGGAGAACCUCAUGCCCUUCACUGGGUGUGUUGGGGAACCAGGACUUUUACUUUGAAAAAAUUAGAGUGUUCAAAGCAGGCCUUUGCUCGAAUACGUUAGCAUGGAAUAAUAGAAUAGGACGUGCGGUCCUAUUUUGUUGGUUUCUAGGACCGCCGUAAUGAUUAAUAGGGACAGUCGGGGGCAUCAGUAUUCAAUUGUCAGAGGUGAAAUUCUUGGAUUUAUUGAAGACUAACUACUGCGAAAGCAUUUGCCAAGGAUGUUUUCAUUAAUCAGUGAACGAAAGUUAGGGGAUCGAAGACGAUCAGAUACCGUCGUAGUCUUAACCGUAAACUAUGCCGACUAGGGAUCGGGCGAUGUUCUUUUUCUGACUCGCUCGGCACCUUACGAGAAAUCAAAGUUUUUGGGUUCUGGGGGGAGUAUGGUCGCAAGGCUGAAACUUAAGGAAAUUGACGGAAGGGCACCACCAGGCGUGGAGCCUGCGGCUUAAUUUGACUCAACACGGGGAAACUCACCAGGUCCAGAUGAAAUAAGGAUUGACAGAUUGAGAG
rnacentral:rRNA from 1 species